GAGUUUGAUCCUGGCUCAGCCUGAACGCUGGCGGCGUGGCUAAGACAUGCAAGUCGCACGGUGUAGCAAUACACAGUGGCGAACGGGUGAGUAAUGAAUCGCUAAUGUACCCUGGACUCUGGGAUAGCUGACCGAAAGGUCAGGUAAUACCAGAUGAGACCACGAACAGGCAUCUGUUUGUGCUCAAAGGUCCGCCGGUCUGGGAGCAGGCGAUUUCGUAUCAGCUAGUUGGUGAGGUAACGGCUCACCAAGGCGACGACGCGUAACCGGACUGAGAGGUUGCCCGGCCACACUGGAACUGAGACACGGUCCAGACUCCUACGGGAGGCAGCAGUGGGGAAUUGUUCACAAUGGGCGCAAGCCUGAUGACGCAACGCCGCGUGGGGGAUGAAGGUCUUCGGAUUGUAAACCCCUGUCGAACGGGACGAAAGACCCGGGAGCUAAUCAUCCUGGGAGUGACGGUACCGUUAAAGGAAGCCACGGCUAACUCUGUGCCAGCAGCCGCCGU
rnacentral:rRNA from 1 species